CCUUAAUAAACUUACUUUUGCUUUGCACUGUGGACUUGCCCUGAAUUCUUUCUUGUGGGAGAUCGAAGAACUCUCUCUUGGUGUCCGGAUCGGGACUCCUUUCCGGUAACAUCACUAUGUUGCCCAGGCUGGUCUUGAACUCCUGGCCUCAAACCAUCCUAUAGAUUCGACCUCCGAAAGUGCUGGGGUUACAGGCAUAGCCACUGUGCCCAGCUGGAACAAUCUUUAUGAAGGUGAAUUAAAGCUGUGAGGCAUGAGACCAGAAAAGAUGCACCAGGAGUAAUGGAUUUUGGUGGAGAAUGAGCCACAGAAACGCGAUCAUGAGGCAAAUGGUGGGGCCUAACCCUGCCUUCUCAGUCCUCGGGAUGGGAGACCGGGCUAGAGAAGAGAAGGCUGGUGUGAAAACGCCGGGAGGGUGAGUUUUGGCAAAAAUGGGGGCAUCUUCAGUUUCACUUGGCACCAAAAGGAAAAUUCAAUGCACAUUCUUUCCUGGAUGUCCAAAAGCCUAAUGAGGUUUUGCUUUCUUUGUCUUCUCUUUCCGGAGCCCUCAUCGAGCCUCAUUCUCAGCCACAUCGUAAGGAUUUAGAGGCCCUAAGCACUGACGACGCUGUGGUGCCACAAAAAUAGACAAGCAGGGCAUGUGCGCUGAAGCUGGAAGAGGCUUCUUCCAUAUUUUCAUUGCAAAAUCAGAACUUUGACCCGCUUUGCAGAUAACCCUGCAUUUUACCGAGAUGUCAAAGCAGGAAGUGCUUGGCUGGAACAUCUGCCGACAGCCUCAUCUCUUUCUGCAAGAUCAUGAUGUUCUGCAUGCUCCUGUGGCCUCUUAUUUCACGUUGCUUUUGCUUUAUUUUUAUUUUUUUCCAUGUUUCCUCCUGGCAAGCUCUCCCUGCAAAUUUUGAAACAACUUUAAAGAUGAAUAAAAAGCAGCUCAGCAAGUGAAUCCCAGAUCCCGGUAAGAGAGUGUCUCCCCCAACUCACAUAGUGAGUGCACAUCAUCCCCAGAACCACCAUGAGAGUGAGCCUGGUAGCGGGUAGCACCCUGCCUGUGACGAAGCCAGCACACUAUGACGAGCAGCAGCUUCUAGACCCAUGGACCACGGGCACUGCCAACGCUCUCCCUCCGGGGACUCCUCCUGCCUCCCAUACAGGGCCAAACUCCGACGCCCACGAGCUCGCUCAGAAUUGGCUCAGGCUGCAAUCACUUCUCUUCUCCUACCUCCACACCAUUCCCUGAUGGUGGACAGCUUCUCCUUUGAGAACCACACCUGCCUUUUCAGACAAAAGGAGACACCACCCACCCUCCUGCUGAGGGCUGCUCCCCUGGGGCCUUCUCAGCACACCUCUCUCUCUCUAGGUCAAAAAACAAAUUUCACAUGCUGAAUUUUUACCUUUUUUAAAGUGACUCCGAAUUUUGGCACCAGCAAUUAAUUCAACACUUGAAUAAGAUUUGAAAACCUCACAACAAAUCACAAAUAUAUUAUGGGUCCUGUU
rnacentral:lncRNA from 10 species